UGGGCUAGAACGCAAUCGGAAUCAGGCCGAAAGGUCUGCGCCAGCGAUGGCCGGUUGCGAGGUGCUGCAUGGUUGUCGUCAGCUCGUGCCGUGAGGUGUCGGGUUAAGUCCCAUAACGAGCGCAACCCCUACUGCUAGUUGCCAGCGGGUCAUGCCGGGGACUCUAGCGGAACUGCCAGCGUAAGCUGCGAGGAAGUGGGGAUGACGUCAAAUCAGCACGGCCCUUACGUCCAGGGCUACACACGUGUUACAAUGGCCAGUACAGAGGGCAGCCACCCCGCGAGGGGGCGCUAAUCCUAAAAGCUGGUCCCAGUUCGGAUCGGAGUCUGCAACCCGACUCCGUGAAGCUGGAUUCGCUAGUAAUCGCGCAUCAGCCACGGCGCGGUGAAUACGUUCCCGGGCCUU
rnacentral:rRNA from 1 species